GUGACAGCCUUCUGACCCUUAAGAAAAGAAUCAACCUUCCAUUUUUCACAUUGUCUUCUAAAUUUCAAUGUGCUUACAUUGCUGAGAACUUAACGACAAUGCCCAUAACAUGACCACUGUCUCUUGGGUGAUUAUAUUCAUUAAGUCAGAAGAAAAAGAGCAAGGGAAGAGUAGAAAUGAAACGACAAUUUUGCCUUCAGUGUCAGCUGCAUGUUAGAAGAAGAGAAAGGACACAUUUCUCAAACUCAGCAUGAGUGAGACGAUGACCUUUAUGAAUUCUGAUCUCUUUACGUAAUCAAACAAAGGCUUUUCACUCCUCUUGGCAGGAGACUCUGGAGGUGCCUUUGACUCAAGGACAAAACUUUGAUUUGAAAGGGGCUAUGGUUUCUAUUUUUCCUUCCUAGGAGCAGACACAGAAACCUUUCCUUUCUUACAGAAAACCAGACUCUCCGGGUGGAGUAGCAAGGGCAGGAUCUUUCAUAGGAUAAUUCAAGAGUUUUGGGGUUGGGAACCCACAGUUCCUUGCAAUGCUUCCGUGCAGCCAGGGGAGGACUAGAGAGUCAUUAUUCUUUGCGGCAAAAGAAAAGACAAGAGGGCACUGUGCAUGAAAAGGACCAAACCAGCUCCAGAAGACAGGUGGCCAAUGGCCAGGUGCCGGCUAGGCCAGCUCUUGCUGCUAGAGUGUUGUUGGCAGGUACUUAGAGAGCCUGCUUCUAGAACUCUCUCCAAGGCUAUCACUUCUCAGGAUUUGCUCUCUAAUUCUCUGGGCUUCCCUCCUUCAAAACUGGCCUGAAGACUCACUGCUUGGCUGAUUUCAAUCAAUGCCUCGGUCAGACUGACCCUCCGUGAAUGUUGCAUCAACAAACCUCAGAAGAGUAAAGAUGGAUUGAUUGUACAUUUCUCGUGAUAUCUGACCCCCGCCUCCCCGCCCCCGACUAUGAGUAUUUCCCAACACAAAGGAGACCAAAUUCUUUUCUCAGAGCAGACAGAAUGCUGAAGGAGGGAAGUGAAGAAGAGAGGCAAAGCCUGGUCUGCUGUGAUGGAUCUGUCCACUCAGACGCUGUUCAGCUCACUUUCUCUUUGCUCAAAUGCCAGCUGCUUACCCCAGCUCCACCCUAAUCACCCAAGUCCAAGUGAUGGUUCCUUCUCCCACGGAUGAGUGUGAAAGGGAACAGAGAAUCCCUGGUUUUGCCUGGUGCCGUGGUUCACAACCAGGAAGGCUGCGGCUCGAGGGUGGUGAUUGGCAGUGUGGAGACACAGGGUUUUCCCACAAUCUCAAGAAAGGAGGUGCUGCUCCCAUCUAGUGAGAAAGACCUCGGUUCAAAGGGCACCUCUCGGGGAAGCCCUCCCUGAGCACCUGUGUGCAGCUGCCUGCAGUCCGGCAUGCAGGGGCCUGUCUGGCCCUGCCAGUCUGUCAGGCUUCCCAGCAGUCCUGGCUGAGGCCGGGCCCUGUGCGCAGAGGACCCUGGACACCCAACUCCCCG
rnacentral:lncRNA from 1 species